rnacentral:snoRNA from 1 species
AUGAUGCUUACCACAGUUACUGUGUUCUUAACAGUAACUGUAUAGAAAGAGAACACAAAAUAAACCUACCCCAUACACACCUCAUACUCUAUACACACCUCAGCACAGACCCUGUGCCUACUCUAUAUUGCAAAAUGGGAGACAUUG